rnacentral:ncRNA from 1 species
UAAAAGGCGAUGACAAGAAGAGUAUUAUGGCACAAGCCUUCCAGAGAGGAGCCAUCGUGGGCUGGAAGUGGCUCUAAGGAUGUGCCAUAAGAAGUGCGUCUUCGAGCUUGUAUCCCUGAAGUUUUAGUAGGGGGUUACCGGUUUAUGCCGUUAUCUUAAAUGAGUGGAGCGUUAUGCUCAAGCAGAGUGGAACCGCGGGAGGCCCCCCUCGUCUCUGAG